rnacentral:snRNA from 1 species
UUAGCUAUCUUUGCCUUUUAGCUUAGGUCAAGUGUAGCAACUCUUCUUGUCAGUUUGAUAUCUAAAACGUCCCUAUGCCCCCCACCCCCUUUUUUUUCUCUCUUUUUUGGACUAAGCGAGUCUUUAGAAACUGGUCCGGGGUAGCGUUGAUCUCGGAAUAAGUUUUCUUGAC